rnacentral:rRNA from 2 species
UACGGAGGGUGCAAGCGUUAAUCGGAAUUACUGGGCGUAAAGGGUGCGUAGGUGGUUUGAUAAGUUAUCUGUGAAAGACCCGGGCUUAACCUGGGGGCGUCAGAUAAGACUGUGAAGCUAGAGUAUGGGAGAGGGCAGUGGAAUUUCCGGUGUAGCGGUGAAAUGCGUAGAGAUCGGAAGGAACACCAGUGGCGAAGGCGACUGCCUGGCCUAAUACUGACACUGAGGCACGAAAGCGUGGGUAGCAAACAGG